GCGGGGAUGCCAUGCUAAUAAUAUCGGUUCUCGUUAGAUCACCGAAGUCAAGGAUCACGUGACUUGGGCGUAGGUCAGUACUUGGGUGGGUGACCAUCUGGGAACACCGCGUGCCGUU